rnacentral:rRNA from 1 species
UGGGGAAUAUUGGACAAUGGGCGCAAGCCUGAUCCAGCCAUGCCGCGUGAGUGAUGAAGGCCCUAGGGUUGUAAAGCUCUUUCACCGGUGAAGAUAAUGACGGUAACCGGAGAAGAAGCCCCGGCUAACUUCGUGCCAGCAGCCGCGGUAAUACGAAGGGGGCUAGCGUUGUUCGGAUUUACUGGGCGUAAAGCGCACGUAGGCGGACUUUUAAGUAAGGGGUGAAAUCCCGGGGCUCAACCCCGGAACUGCCUUUGAUACUGGAAGUCUUGAGUAUGGUAGAAGUGAGUGGAAUUCCGAGUGUAGAGGUGAAAUUCGUAGAUAUUCGGAGGAACACCAGUGGCGAAGGCGGCUCACUGGAACAUUACUGACGCUGAGGUGCGAAAGCGUGGGGAGCAAACAGG